rnacentral:misc_RNA from 1 species
AAUAAUAAUAAUAAUAAUAACAGGGAUUUAGACACUAGAGUUCUUAAGAAGAUCUAAAAUUUAUUAAUCUCCCCCAAAGCUGACAAUUUGCAUGAAUAAUACAAGAGGUCUAACAGUUCCAAUAUAAUUCAUAUGCAAGUAUAGAAACCCAAGCAUAAUAAAGAAACAUAAGGACAAUAUGCAUGCAUAGAAAUCCAAGCAGAAUAAAGUUGUUACACAUAAAGAAUACAAAUACUAUUAAAAAUCAUAAAGAAACACAAUAUCAGAAGACUUUUAGGGAAAAAAAAGGUGGAUGAUCAGAAAAAUCUAGAAGGAUAAUAAAGCAAAGUCACAUUACUAAUGACCAUUUAACUCAAACAAGUCCAUUAUAUUGCCACAGGUAAUACAGACGCCAAAUAACUUGAAAACAACUAAUAGAGAUCUGACAAAAUAUGGGGAUCUGCAAAGAGGAAGUUCUGAAAUAGAUUUUUAUGUGUUUUAACUUACAAACCAUCCUCAACAGAAUCCCAAUUUCAGAAUAUUACGUACAGUUCAUUAACAGAAAUCUAAAAAAUCUAACAUUCGAAAUAACUAUAUAUAAUUAAACUAAUUGUUAGAUAACCAAAAA